rfam:Homo sapiens chromosome 17, GRCh38 reference primary assembly.
UAUUGAAAUAUUAAAAAAAAAAAAGAAAAGAAACAAUACAGAGAAGAUUAGUAUGGCCCCUGUGCAAGGAUGACAUCCAAAUUCAUCAAGUGUUCCAUUAAAAU